rnacentral:rRNA from 1 species
ACUUCCGGCAAUGGAUGUCUUGGUUCCAAUAUUGAUGAAGAAUGCAGCGAAAUGCAGUAUUUAUUGUGAUCUGUAAGAGCUCGUGAGUCAUCAAAAUGUUGAAUGUAUAUUAUACCCUUGGGAAAUGCCCAAGGGUGGGUUUGAUUGAGUGC